GGAGAGGUGCGAGAGUGGCUGAAUCGGGCGGUCUCGAAAACCGUUAGGUCCGGCAACGGGCCUCGUGGGUUCGAAUCCCACCCUCUCCG
rnacentral:tRNA from 3 species